rnacentral:rRNA from 1 species
CCUACGGGAGGCUGCAGUGGGGAAUAUUGGACAAUGGGGGCAACCCUGAUCCAGCCAUGCCGCGUGUGUGAAGAAGGCCCUCGGGUUGUAAAGCACUUUCAGUGAGGAAGAACGCCUGGUGGUUAAUACCCAUCAGGAAAGACAUCACUCACAGAAGAAGCACCGGCUAACUCCGUGCCAGCAGCCGCGGUAAUACGGAGGGUGCGAGCGUUAAUCGGAAUUACUGGGCGUAAAGCGCGCGUAGGUGGCUUGAUAAGCCGGUUGUGAAAGCCCCGGGCUCAACCUGGGAACGGCAUCCGGAACUGUCAAGCUAGAGUGCAGGAGAGGAAGGUAGAAUUCCCGGUGUAGCGGUAAAAUGCGUAGAGAUCGGGAGGAAUACCAGUGGCGAAGGCGGCCUUCUGGACUGACACUGACACUGAGGUGCGAAAGCGUGGGUAGCAAACAGGAUUAGAUACCCCAGUAGUC